UACGUAGGGGGCGAGCGUUGUCCGGAAUUAUUGGGCGUAAAGGGUUCGCAGGCGGUUUUUUAAGUCAGAUGUGAAAGGCUACGGCUCAACCGUGGUAAGCAUUUGAAACUGAAAAACUUGAGUUAAGGAGAGGAAAGUGGAAUUCCUAGUGUAGCGGUGAAAUGCGUAGAUAUUAGGAGGAAUACCAGUGGCGAAGGCGACUUUCUGGACUUAUACUGACGCUGAGGAACGAAAGCGUGGGGAGCAAACAGG
rnacentral:rRNA from 1 species